AAAACUUUAAAAUUUAAUUUUUUUUUUUUGAAAAGGAGGGAGAGUAUGUAGUAUAUUAUUUGUCACUAUUAUGUUAUUUGCCUAACUUAAUUCCAAAUGUAUUUCACGAGGAUUACUUUGUGUCUGGUUCUCAUUAAUGAAAGUAUCUCAGAUGUUUAGAAAGAAACGGGAAAACCAAAUAAAAGAUUAAAUGUUAAUGAGAUUCUUAUUUUAUUUGGUAUUGAAAAACAACAAUUUUGUUAUGAAAGAAUUGUACGUUUGUAACUUUGUAUGUUAUAACUUGCUAUAAAAGUGAUAAUGAAACGAAC
rnacentral:lncRNA from 1 species